rnacentral:ribozyme from 1 species
UGCCCAGCAACUCCUAUCGCUACUUCCGCGUGGCACCGGCCAGACUGCGAGUAACCUUAGGGAAAUCGGAUAACCAUCCCCGGUAGGAACUUUGGUCAUAUGCUGACAAGGAAUG